UACGGAAGGUCCAGGCGUUAUCCGGAUUUAUUGGGUUUAAAGGGAGCGUAGGCUGGAUAUUAAGUGUGUUGUGAAAUGUAGACGCUCAACGUCUGACUUGCAGCGCAUACUGGUUUCCUUGAGUACGCACAACGUUGGCGGAAUUCGUCGUGUAGCGGUGAAAUGCUUAGAUAUGACGAAGAACUCCGAUUGCGAAGGCAGCUGACGGGAGCGCAACUGACGCUUAAGCUCGAAGGUGCGGGUAUCAAACAGG
rnacentral:rRNA from 1 species